GCGGCUGAGCCAAAGCAGAAGAUUUAGUGGCAGUAAAAUUAUCGAAAUCAUCUUCAAGCUUCCGGUGAGACUCUACGUUAUCGGGAUCGAUAAUGGAGAGAUCAACAGAACCCCAAUCAGCACCAUAGAGGACGGAGGUAGGGCGGACGUGAAGAAGGAUAACGGCGUCACCAGGACGGAGGUAGUGGUGGACAGCCCAUUUAACGGCGAAGGCGGAUUCGUCACUGAGAUCAACGGCGAUUCCGAUUUUGCGUUGUGCACCGGCAGUGGGGGUCUCUGUGGCGGAUGGAGUGGUAGGUGGUGGAAAACGCGGCGAUGAACAUUUG
rnacentral:lncRNA from 1 species